GAUGAACGCUGACAGAAUGCUUAACACAUGCAAGUCAACUUGAAUUUGGGUUUUUAACUUAGGUUUGGGUGGCGGACGGGUGAGUAACGCGUAAAGAACUUGCCUCACAGCUAGGGACAACAUUUGGAAACGAAUGCUAAUACCUAAUAUUAUGAUAAUAGGGCAUCCUAUAAUUAUGAAAGCUAUAAGCGCUGUGAGAGAGCUUUGCGUCCCAUUAGCUAGUUGGAGAGGUAACGGCUCACCAAGGCGAUGAUGGGUAGCCGGCCUGAGAGGGUGAUCGGCCACAAGGGGGCUGAGACACGGCCCUUACUCCUACGGGAGGCAGCAGUGGGGAAUAUUGGACAAUGGACCGAGAGUCUGAUCCAGCAAUUCUGUGUGCACGAUGAAGUUUUUCGGAAUGUAAAGUGCUUUCAGUUGGGAAGAAACAAAUGACGGUACCAACAGAAGAAGAGACGGCUAAAUACGUG
rnacentral:rRNA from 1 species